CACAUUCUCUGAUUCUCUCCUCUAUCUCUCCUCCCUCCUCGGCGCCGACGCAAACCCUAAAAAUCCAACGCCCCGAUUCGCCGGAAAAUCCGUCGCCUACCACCGAAUCACCGCCGGAAACGACACCACUACACCUUACCACUGUUAAUCCAAAGAUUUAGACCUAAACGACUACCAAAACAAUCUCAAGCCCUAAUUUUCCAACAUUCAAUUGCCGACGAAUUUCUCUUCGCCGACAGUUUACCGACGCCUCCAUAACCGAUUUAACUUAGACGACGGAGGGUGGUGUAAAAUCCGAUUCACAACAGCAAAAAAACCAUUGAUAUGCUAAUCAAUUACAUCAAAAUCGGUUUCGAUUAAAGAAUCGUCGAAGUGGCGGAACACUUUCUACGAUUCAACAAAUAGAUCGAAAAUAUUGGACAAAAUGCGAAAAAAAAUGCGAAAACCCCAAAUUAGCAUGCCUGAUCAACAGAAAUAUUGAAAGACAAUGAUAUAUGCAAGAAGAAGGAUAAAAAGAUUCUGCAGUCAAUUCAUCAAGCCAAUCAGAGGUGAAGAUCUAUUAUCAAUUUCAUGGUGCAGAUUCCAAAAAGGAUAAAGGAUGAUGACAUUGAAGAUCAAUGAAAUACUUAUAAAUGGCAGAAAGUUGCCUAAAAACUGUGGAAUAAGAAGAUGGCAAAGUAGUAUCAAUCGAUUGGAAAAAGGUGGAGAGCAUAAAAAAGAAGAAUGAAACAGAAGAAAAAAGAACUCAAAGGUGCACAAAUAAAAGUGGAUGAGAAUCAAGAUCAAUAGAAAAAAGUUGAAAACAAAGAAAAAAAAAAAGUAAAGAACAGAAGAUAUCAACACAUCAAAGGUGCACAAAAUCAGAAUCUAUCAGUGAUAAAAGUUGCUAAGAAUCAAGAUCAAUUGAAAAAAGUUGAAAAACAAAGAUAAAAGGGGAAAGAACUGAAGAUAUCAAGACAUCAAAGGAAAAAGGGAAAAGAAGAAAAAGAAGAUUAGCUGUCUCCUUUCUCUCUUCAAACUACCAUCAUUACAGAGAGAAGAGAAAAAGAUGAGAUGGCAAGCAUGAGAGGCUUACAAAGCCUACUCCUACUGAUUCUGAUUUCUUCUCUCAGUUUUCAAAAAGAGGUAUUAAUUGCAUAUGCAGAAAAUCUGAAUCUCUCUCUUUCUCUCUCUUGGAAACUGCAUACUCUCUCUCUCUCUCUCUCUCUCUCUCUCUCUCUCUCUCUCUCUCUCUCUCUCUCUCUCUCUCUCUCUCUCUCUCUCCGCAAUGCACGCUGCUUGCUAGGUAAACCUACAAUUGCUCAGCAAAAAGUAGGAGAUGAGAGAAGAAAGAAGAAGAUAAAGAGCAUUUUAUUGCAGGAAUACAAAUAGGGUUAUAUCAAACCCUAAUAAACAGGAGCCGCCUCUACUAUAGCAGAAAAAGGAGAGAGAAAGAGAUAUUACUGUAUAAAGGUGGUUACAUCAUAAUCAUUUUAUAGGCCUGCAGAGGACCAUAUAUUCACUUUAUUACACAAACAUAAUUCAAGGAAGAAGAAGAAUAUAAUUCAAGGUAUGGAUUGCAAAGAGGUCUAAAGGAGAAUGGAAUAGCUUGAAAGAAUGGAAUAAAUAUAUAAUGUAAUAGUAGUAAAUAGAUGUAAUAGUAGUAAAUAGUAAAUAUUGUAAUAGAAUAGAAUAGUAGGAGUAUAUAAAAAGUAGGCCUUAUGGCAGAUAUAGGCCUGUCUCUACACAAUUUUCCAUAAAAUGACCGAAAAUACAACAAUGAAGCUAAAUUUAAUAGGAUUGAUGAUAUUUACACAA